CUGCUAAAGUAAAAAUAAUACAUGGCUUUGAAACCAAGAACUCUUACCACCAUGCCACAAAAUUGGUUCUCCUCAGGAUGCCACUGUCAGUCACUCAGUAGGGCUGUUUUCCUAAGGAGACAUAAGA
rnacentral:snoRNA from 1 species